rfam:Oryza sativa (indica cultivar-group) chromosome 3, whole genome shotgun sequence.
AAAAAGGCAAACCCUGGGUUUCCGUGUCAACGUUUCACUGUCCGUCUUAUAUGAUUUUUUUAUAAUUAGUAUUUCUAUUGUCGUUAGAUGAUAAAACAUGAUUAAUACUUUAUGCGUGAUUUAUCUUUUUAAUUUUUUCAUAAUUUUUUUAAAUAAGAAGGAUGGUCAAACGUUGGACACGGAAACCAGGGUUUGUCUUUCU